rnacentral:tRNA from 1 species
ACGCUACGGAUUUAAUUUUGAUUGAGCCUUGUCUAAUAGGAAAAUCCGUUGACUUUAGAAAUCGUGAGAGUUCAAGUCCCUCUAUCACCA